CCUUGUCAUCAGUCUUCCCUUGGUCUAGGAGCAUCUCCCCACAGGAAACUCACGUCCAAAGAAUGCAUUCUACUCCCUGUGCUGCUUUUUUUGGUGGUGUGGAAGCCCCAUGUCUUUCUGCUCGCUUCUCUCUCUUACAUCUCAAAAGAGAUUAGCUUAAGACACUAUCUAAUCUUGUAGAUCUCAUUAAUAUAACUGUCACUAAUCCAUCUCAUUACAUCUUAGUGAUAGAAUUUACAACCCAGGGAAAUCACAUCAGAUGACAAAAUGGUAGACCAUCAUUACAAUACUGAGAAUUACGAUCUAGCCAAGUUGACAGAUAUUUUUGGGGGAUACAAUUCAAUCCAUGACAGACCUGAUGUCUUAGGAGCACUGGGCUGGAAGGGCAGGUUGUAAAUUUGCAGAAGUUGUUCUAUUGGUGUGAUGCUGGUCAUGGACUAACCACAAACCAAGCAGAGGACCCAACAAGCCCGAACUUCCCUGAGCCUGGAAUGACCAGGAGUGGGGGAUUAUUCCUGCCCUGGGGCAUGUGGUGGGUGUCUCCUCCCCCUACCCAACCUUAGAACGUGAACUGCUUUACUUGGACCCACAAGCAAGUCCUUCCCUCCAUCAACAGAUGAAUAGAUAAACCAAAUGUGGCAUAUACAUACAAUGGAGUAUUGAGAGAAACGAAGUCCUGAUAUAUACUACGACACGGAUGAACCUUGAAAACAUUAUGCUAACUGAAAUGCGUCAGACACAAAAGGACAAAUCUUGUAUGAUACCACUUAUAUGAAAUAUCUAGAAUAGACAAAUGUCUAUCUGUCUAGAACAGGCAGAAAGUAGAUUAGUGGUUACCAGGGGUUGGGGAGGGUGCGGAAAGCCUACUGUUUAAGGGGCCCUGAGUGUCUGUUUGGGGUAAUGAAAAAGUUUUGAAAAUAGAUAGUGGUGGUGACUGUAAAACAUUGAGACUAUAAUUAAUGUCCCUGAAUUGUACACUUACAAAUGGUUAAAAUGGCAACUUUUAUGAUAUAUAUAUAUAUAUAUAUAUAUUUUUUUUUUUUUUUACUACACACACACACAAAUCUUUCCCUUCACGUGUGUCGUGGAGCAAGGAAAGUUGAGGGAGAGAGAAAAAGGAGAGAGAGGCAAAGCUUUUACCAUUCUAACCAUUUUAAGUGUAUAUAAUUCAGUGACAUCUGAGAAUUGUUUAGUCAAAUGAAAGAGGCAACAGAAAUUCCCAGGGCUGGGAAACUGAAGUCACUCAGAAAAGAGAGAGGUGGAGUAACACAGAGGUCCAGAGAGCCAAGGCUGAGGAAGGGAAAGUGAUUUGGUCAAAGUCCUUGUCAGCACGUGUCCACUUCGUGAGGAAAGGGGAGGCUGAAGCAGGGUGCGGAGAAAGGAGGAAGAUUUGAGUGAGAAGUGGGUGUGAGGGGGCGGGCCCUGAGCACUGGAGCCCAGCCUGUUGCUCCUGAGGAGAAUCACCCCGUCACCUUUUGAGCCAGAGCAGAGACAGAGGCCUUACGAAGCGCUGGUCCUACUUGGUUUUUGAAGUGGGUCUGGGCUAGACUCGAGAACCAGGCUGCCUCAGUUCUAGUCCUGGAGCAACACUGGGAUGUGAUCUCAUCAACAUAACUGCCGCUAAUCCAUCCCAUUAACAUCAUAGUGUUAGGAUUUGCAACGCACAGGAAAAUCACUUCGGAUGACAACAUGAUGGACCAUCACGCAAUACUGGGAAUCACGGCCUAGCCAAAUUGAUACACAUAUUUUUGGGGGACACAAUUCAAUCCAUGACAAACACUAACUAGAGUUAACCAUCAUAACCAGUGUUCCUCUCACCUUGCACCUCUGCGUGAUUGUUACUGCCAAACACAUGCCGUUAAUGUGAGAAACAGUCAGAACCAUUGAUGGAUGCUAUACUAGAAAAGAUCCUGGGCAUCUAUGACACGGAACAGCUUCUAUUUUUGAUUCCAUUUUACAAAUGAACUCACUGAGGUAAAACUCCGUUGGCUUCAAGUCGACUCCUACUCUCAGCAACCUUAUACGAUGGAGUAGAACUACCCCACAGGUCACCAAGGCCAUCAUCUUCACGGGAACGGGCCUUAUACGAUGGAGCAGAACUACCCCACAGGUCACGAAGGCCAUCAUCUUCACGGGAACGGGCCUUAUACGAUGGAGUAGAACUACCCCACAGGUCACCAAGGCUAUAAUCUUCACGGGAACGGGCCUUAUACGAUGGAGUAGAACUACCCCACAGGGUUACCAAGGCUAUCAUCUUCACGGAAACAGGAUGCCCCAUCUUUCUCCCGUGGAGUAGUUGGUGGGUUCAAACUGCCGACCUUUUGGUUACCACUGUGCCACCAGGGCUCCUUUUCACUGAAGGUAAAUGGCUGUUAAAUGAUGGUUAAAUGGCUAUUCAGUGUCCUGUGGUUGCUAAGUGGUAGAGCAGAGGUUAGUCCCUGGGUGGCGCAAAUGUUUAAGUGCUAAACUACUAACUAAAAGGUUGGCGGUUCACACUCACCCAGAGGCACCUUGGAAGGCAGGCCUGGUGAUCUGCUUCCAAGAGGUCACAACCUUGAAAACCCUAGGGAGCAGUUCUACUCUGCACACAUGAAGUUUCCAGGAGUCGGAACUGACUCGAAUGCAACUAACAACAAGAGCAGGGUUGGCCCCAGGCAGUCUUGAGUCCAGGGCCCAGGUACUUCACCAUGACUCUGUGCUGUCCUAGGUAACAGGCUCCCUUACACCCCAGAUGCUACAGAGGAGAUGUGGCCUCUGGGAGGGGGGCAGAAACUGGGAGUCUGGAAGCUGAGGCCAAGCCCCUCGCCCUCUGAGCCUGAGUUUUUUUCAUCUGAAAGCAAGAAGGUCAGACUGAGUGACCUGAGGGUACAUCUGCUCAGACACCCCAGGACGUUUUGAGAUGAGAACAGCCCUCUCGCCUUUGCAGCUGGACAGGGCUGCCUCGAAGUCCUUUGAGGAGACAAUGUCAGUCAUUGCACAGCCGGGCUAAAAAGUCACAAGCAAGAGUGAAUCUUUUAUCACGUAUAUGACACCAAACAGUCAACACUUACCCUAAAGCAAAGAUGAGAAUGUAAGGGGCAGGGAAACUAGAUUAACAGAAACGCAACAAACAGAAUGGAAAUAAUGAGAAUGUUCAUGCUUUGUGAAGAAUAUAACCAAUGUCACUGGACAAUUUGUGUAGCAAUUGUUGAAUGGGAACCUAAACUGCUGUGUAAACUUUCACUGAAAACACAAUAAAAUACUAUUAAAAAAAGAAAAAUGAGGAACCAUUGAGUUUCUGUUUAUGGUGAUGGAAAAUUUGGCAACUGAUAUCGGUGAUGGUUGCCCAACAUGAUUGAUGUAACUGGUGUUGCUGAAUUGUACAUGUGGAAAAUGUUGAAUUGGCAAAUGUUGUGUUACACAUAUUUUUACAACAAUGACAACGACAAAACAGUGAGUCUCUUGGCCUGGAGCCCCCCAGUUUGUCUUUGCUAACACCUGACACUGAAACCACAGGGGAGAGUUUGGGAUCUGGUGAAGAGGGAAGAAUCCUCAGGAACAGGCAGGGAAGGAGGGGAGGAAACGACCCUCUGGGCCGGGCCACACAAAGUCUGGGGACAGGAAAUGCACCCUUGGUCACUGUCCCAGCUGCUGGCUUUGUUGACUUGUGCAUCCCCACCCCCGGCAGAACCCUAUAGACAGUGAGCGCAGCCCAGCUUCAGGUCUGGAAUCUGUCACUCCUGGUUGGCAAAUACGCUCUUGGUUUCAUCGAGGAGAGUGGAUCGCUGGCCCUCAUCACCACCGUGCAGAGCAAACACCUUCAAAUGGGGGUGAAGUUCAUGGGGCAGAGGAUGGUACAGAAAAGUAUCCUGCCUUGUCAUUACGACUCUUUGCAAAUGAAGCAAGAGAUAGCCACAUCGAGAAGGGGACUCUACCUGGGAUUGGGAGUCCCCCAGGUAGCAAAUCUCAGCAUCAAUGUGGCCUUUCUGGGGAACUCAAAAGAAAAUAUCUAGUUAAAAGGUCAGGGAAAUAGCCAAAAGGUAGAAGCAGCCUAAAUGUCUAUGGAUAAACAAAAUAUGGUCCAUCCACACAAUGGAGUAUUAUUUAGCCGCAAAGAGAAAUGAAGUCCUGAUACAUGCUACCUAUGGCACGGAUGAACCUUGGAGACAGGCUGAAUGAAAACAAAGCCGUGACGAAAGCCCAAAUAUUGUGUGAUCCUACUUACAUGAAAUAGGCAAAGGCGUAGAGACCAAAGUUCUCCACAGUAAAGUAGUUACAAGGAAGGGGGACUCUCAGCUCAGGGGGCGCUGAGUUUCUGUUAACGGUGGUGGUGGAAUAAUUGGGAAAUGGACCAUGGAGAUGGCUGCACAAUGUGAUGAACAAAUCAAUGCCACCGGAACGUGCAAAAUAUGUACAGUAUGUUAAAUUGGCAAAUGUUUUGUUAUGCACAUUUUUAUCACAAUAAAACAUAGAAGAAAAAAAAAAGUCAGAGAACUUCCAAAUCCCUUCGUGCUUGACCAGGGCAACUCCUUUUUCUCCUUUUUUCUACCAGGAACUAACACAUAUCUCUGGGAGGCAGAGAGAGGCCACUAGGAGUCGGUAAAAAUGGGCAACAGGGUUAAAGGGGGGUGAUCCUUGCUUGAUGGAGGUUGUGUGCUCCUGGGGAGCCUUGUUCCCACUUUGCCUCUGCUUCAUAAAAGCCUCAUCAACCAGGUUUCAAAUUUUACAUGGAAAAGGUACUCCGUGUAACACAUGCAUUACUUGUGAAAUUAUUAUUAUUAUUUCAUUUCAUUGUGUGCUUGUUUCGGGGUUUUUUUGUUUGUUUUUGAAACCAUCACCACUAUCUAUUUCCAAAAGUUUCUCAUUACCCCAAAGAGUAAUUCUGUACCCCUUCAGCAAUAACUCCCCAUUCCCCCUUGUCCCAGUCCCUGGUAACCUCUAAUCUACUUUCUGCUUCUAUGCAUUCAUCUAUUCUAGCUAUUUCCUAUAAGCGAGAUCUUACAGUACUGAUCCUUUUGUGUCUGGCUUAUUUCACUCAGCUUAAUGUUUUCAAGGUUCAUCCAUAUUGUAGCUUGAAUCAGGCUCCAUUCCUUUCUAAGGCAGAAUAAUAUUCCAUUGUAAGUGUAAGUCAAAUUUAAUUUUUCAAAGGCCACUUGCUUGGAAACCACCAUGAUUUUUCUUCCACAGUCCUUAGAAACUUACCUUGCAUUCUCAAAUUAAGCCUUUCCUUCCACA